UUUUUUUGACUCAAAAUAAGGAUAUUCAUUCAUUCCAAUAAUUGAUACAGUACAUCACAUGCAAAUAUAAAUUCAACAUAGCUAAAAACAAAAAGGAUGAAACUGCAAACAAUCUCACAGCAUCCAUGUUAAUAGCAUACAACGGCAAUUGCAAUAUGCCUACAAAUAAUAUAAUAUGAUAAAAGUCACCAGAAUGUCCNNNN
rnacentral:lncRNA from 1 species